rnacentral:rRNA from 1 species
UCACGAAAGUGGAUUGUACUAGAAGUCUGCGCGCUGACCCGCAAGGGGGGCAGCGGCCCAAGGUAUGAGUUCAUGAUUGGGGUG